rnacentral:rRNA from 1 species
CUAGACAGUGGCGCACGGGUGAGUAACGCGUGGGGACCUACCUUUUAGUACGGAACAACAGUUGGAAACGACUGCUAAUACCGUAUGUGCCCUUAGGGGGAAAGAUUUAUCGCUAAGAGAUGGACCCGCGUUGGAUUAGGUAGUUGGUGGGGUAAUGGCCUACCAAGCCGACGAUCCAUAGCUGGUUUGAGAGGAUGAUCAGCCACACUGGGACUGAGACACGGCCCAGACUCC